rnacentral:lncRNA from 1 species
GGACCACGUUGUUGCACCCAUAUUUUUAGUUUGGACUUUGGACAAGGUGCCAAACUCAUCACUACCACCCAUUUAUUUAAUUUCAAAUUUGAGACAAUUCAACUUUCUGACAACAGCUAGGACAGAGAAAAAUCAUUAUUAUGACCAUGACAUGAGUACAAAAGUAUGAAGAUUUCGACUCUCACUUGUCUGGUAGUCAACAGAUCAAUAGGCGUGAGUUUGAAGCAAA